rnacentral:rRNA from 1 species
GGCCCUUUGCCGGCAUGCUUUUAACAAUGCAGUCGAACGGUAACAGGGUGCUUGCACCGCUGACGAGUGGCGAACGGGUGAGUAAUGCAUCGGAAUGUACCGUGUAAUGGGGGAUAGCUCGGCGAAAGCCGGAUUAAUACCGCAUACGCCCUGAGGGGGAAAGUGGGGGACCGUAAGGCCUCACGUUAUACGAGCAGCCGAUGUCUGAUUAGCUAGUUGGUGGGGUAAAGGCUCACCAAGGCGACGAUCAGUAGCGGGUCUGAGAGGAUGAUCCGCCACACUGGGACUGAGACACGGCCCAGACUCCUACGGGAGGCAGCAGUGGGGAAUUUUGGACAAUGGGCGCAAGCCUGAUCCAGCCAUGCCGCGUGUCUGAAGAAGGCCUUCGGGUUGUAAAGGACUUUUGUCCGGGAGCAAAUCCCAGUGGUUAAUACCUACUGGGGCUGAGAGUACCGGAAGAAUAAGCACCGGCUAACUACGUGCCAGCAGCCGCGGUAAUACGUAGGGUGCAAGCGUUAAUCGGAAUUACUGGGCGUAAAGCGUGCGCAGGCGGUUGUGCAAGUCUGAUGUGAAAGCCCCGGGCUUAACCUGGGAACGGCAUUGGAGACUGCACGACUAGAGUGCGUCAGAGGGGGGUAGAAUUCCGCGUGUAUCAGUGAAAUGCGUAGAGAUGCGGAGGAAUAUCGAUGGCUAAGGCAGCCCCCUGGGAUGACACUGACGCUCAUGCACGAAAACGUGGGGAGCAAACAGGAUUAGAUACCUUGGUAGUCCACGCCCUAACCAUGUCAACUAGCCUGUUGUGGGUUUGAAUCCUUGAUAACGAAGCUAACGCAAGAAUUUUAUCGCCUGGGAGUACUGCCGCAAGGUUAAAACUCAAGGAAAUUGGACGGGCACCCCGCACAAGCGUGAGGAUG